GUGAAGGAUGGGCUUGCUGCAGAGACCAGGCUGCUAUGGAUGGCCUCCUGUGGAUAGGAGAAGGAGGCUGGCCAGCCUGAGUGAGGUUUAAUGAGUUGAAAAGACCCAUGGACAAUCCUAGGAUGAGAAGAUGAGGAAGCGGACCUUCUGGGGGAUCUAGAUUAGCCUCGUUUAUGAUAGACAUUACGUCCUUGUUCUGUCCCCUUAAUACACACGUGACAUAGACGUGACUCACGGCAGCAAGAACUUUCUUUACCAUAUCAUCUAGAAAAGAGCCUUCUAUCCAUGUUAAAGGCUUGUCCAGCUGAGCAGGUAUCUGCAGUUGCACUGCACCUGUUAUCCUUUGGAAAGACCCAGCCUCUCGAGCCUGGAAGCUACAGCAGCGAAUG